rnacentral:rRNA from 1 species
UACGGGGGGGGCAAGCGUUGUUCGGAAUUACUGGGCGUAAAGGGCGCGUAGGCGGCCUGCUAAGUCGGAUGUGAAAUCCCUCGGCUCAACCGAGGAACUGCAUCCGAUACUGGCGGGCUUGAAUCCGGGAGAGGGAUGUGGAAUUCCAGGUGUAGCGGUGAAAUGCGUAGAUAUCUGGAGGAACACCGAUGGCGAAGGCAAUCCCCUGGGCCUGCACUGACGCUCAUGCACGAAAGCGUGGGGAGCAAACAGG